CACAGAAGCCCCCAUUUCCAGUUCGUUUCGAACCAGCUGGUUGGGGGGCAGCCAUGGAAGAUCUGCACAUGCAUGGGGAGCCGUCGAUCUUUGUUUGGGAGGUGCGCUGCAAAUCCAGCCGUCCUUUUGCUCUUCGUCUGAGAGAUUUCUGGUGGGAAGAUUUUUCAUCCUUUCUACAGCCUUCCACUCAGACUUCCAUCUCUCUUGCUUUCGAAUUUCUGCAUCCUUUGUCUUCAGGCACUUCUAUCAUAGAUUGUGACUUUGAACUAUGAUUCACCAUCAUAACGGAAAACCAGGAAAUUCCCAACUUCUAAAUGAUGAUCCUUCACAAAACCCUGUCAACCCUUAGAGAAGAACAAGCCAUUCUCUCUCUCUUCCAAUUCCACAGCCCUCCCUUUCCCACUUGGGCCUCUAAGAGAACAUUUGCGAAGUGAUCCUCCGUUGAAGUUCUUGAUAAACACCGUUGAACAUUUGCGAAGGAAAUCUCAUAUGAAAUGGGUAUUUUAUGUUGGAGGUUAGGUUUAUUUUAUGAUUUUUUAUGUUAGAUUUCAUAUUGAAUCAAUUUGAAAGGUUUCCCCUGAAGACUCUGAAUAUCUUUUAAGUUUUUUUGUGGUUAUAACACAUCAAAAUUUAUUUUUUCUUAUUAGUUCUUUCAACUUUAUUUUGCUAAUUCAGUGAGAGUAGUUGUCAAAGAUGGCAUCAAAGCUUAGCAAAUCUAUGCUUGAUGGGGUUGAAAUUACGAUUUAAUCAGCGAUAGGACUUUUGGUUGAAUCCCAAGCAGGGAAUGCAUUCUUUGCCAUGGUUCCCGAACAGGUCCUCUUGGCUUCCCUUGAUGCUAUCAGUAAGUUGAAUAGGGUUCUAUAACCUUUAGGUGUUUAUAGGUUAUUUCUGCUUUUAUAGCUUCUCCUUUAGAUUAGCAUAGCCUAUAAAUGACAAUACAUUUAUCAGUUUUGACCAUAGGUGUCUAUAGAUAAUCUAUUCUUUUGUACGACAAACUUGCACAUGGGUUGAUUCUGUUAUGGGUAUUUGGUUUGAUUCUAUUAAAGUCUGGGUCUUUUGGUUUCAUUAGGUUAUAGAUAUUUAAUAAUUUGUGGCAAUGACAGAUUAUACUUUUGUCCACCACGUUCGUAGAAUGCUUGGCGUAUUUAAAUUGUGGUUUGUGCAGUUGAUUUCUUGGCCUUAAUUAUGUAACAAUAGCCACUGUCUUCACUAAAUUUUCCCAUUUGUCUCCACUAACACUUACCAGUUUCCAAAUUUGUAGCAACAUAAUAAACACCCAUUGAUUUGAUGCUAUUAAAGCUAGAGUGUUUUGGCUUAAUUCUCUCAUACCUAUUUAAUAAAUUGUCACAAUUGUUCUAAGUUUGUUAUCAAUUGAUUAAAUAGACUGGAGUUAUACUUUUGCCCCUCAGAUUAAUAGAAUGGUUGAUGUACCUAAACUGUUGUUUGUCCUGUUGGAUUUUUUAACUUAAUUUUGUGAUGAUAGUUGGUAUUCGCUCACAUUUUUCCAUUUAUCUACACUAACACUUGCCAUUUUUUAAAUUUGUACCAACAUAGUUAAAACCCUGCAAAGGACAAGAAAGAACAGAAGCCACUUCUAUAGGAAAGGCAUCAAGAGAAAGAUCCCAUUCCAACAGACAUCAAGGCAGAAAAUCCCCUUCCACCACCCAAUAGCAUAUAUAUAUAUAAAGACCGGUCCAAACUCUUCUAAACAAUGAACAUUCUAAAACUGCUAAUAUUUUGAUGCUAUUUUGAUGUUUUGAUUGCUGCUUAGUUUAUUAAAAUAUGGUCAAUAUUUUAACGUGACAAGUAGCAUAUAAAACAUGUUAUUAGUCUAUUUUUAGUAAUAUAAACUUGCCAAAUAAAGCAUGAUGCCACUAUUAAGAUCUCCAUGUCUAUAUAAAUGGUACCAUCUUUCAUAUAUUUUUUCAUGAUUUUGUAUACAAUUCAUAUGGUUUUAAAACCCGCAGCAUCGCGCGGGCACCUUUUGCUUGUAAUAUAUGAGAGACAAAUAAUAAGACACCCUUUCGUUAUCUCACCUUAAAUAAUAAGACUUGCUUAAAUAAUAUCUUACCUUGUGAAAGUUUUUUUUGUCUCCAUGAUUUAAGCUCUCUAUAUAUAAUAUAUUCAGUCCCUUCUAUUGAGGACACCCUUUUGGGUCCUCCAUGAAUUUUUUUUUCAACAAUCCAAAUCAUUUAUUUUUUAAGUCUAUAUUCAUAGACCAUCCAAUAAAACCCUUAAAGAGGCUUCCCCUCUGAUUCAACUCAAACGGGAAGAUAAGAAUGUUAACGAUAUGAGAGACAAAACUUUCUGAUUUCAUUUAAAUCUUCUGCUCAAGACUAUUAUCGGACUUCAGCAAGUAUGGGAGAUGCUUUCCCCUGAUGUUGUUUUGUAGUGCUCCUAUUGCUGAUGUUUGUCUACUUUAGGGCUUUUGGGAUUGUAAAGUUUGUUCAUUCCACAGUUCAUUGUAAGUUGUGUUGCAUGCUUUUAUGUUCUGAGCUCAUAUAAGUGUAACAAUUAUUGUUGUUGCUAAGAAAAUAUGAUCUUGGAACUGAAACACAUAUUUUUGUUCUAACAACUAUUGAUAGUGCUAUGUGAACUUCUAGCUUCCUGUUAA